AUUGGUGACUUCAAUGAAAUACUACUGUCGUCAGAAAAAGAAGGAGGAGCCCAGCGGCAACAGUCUAGGCUUAAAGCGUUCCAAGAUGCACUAACAGACUACUCCUUGGAGGAUAUUGGAUACCAUGGCGACAAAUUUACCCUUUUCAGAGGAGGACUGCGAGAAAGGUUGGAUCGAGCAGUAUCAAAUCCGGGAUGGAUGGAUAUGCAUCCUUUAUGUGGUCUUGUAAACCUGGAUAUGGGCAAGUCGGACCACAGACCUAUAUGUUUGGAUACUGAAUACCUGGCAGGUGUCGCAGCCCAACGGCAUCAGUCAGGAAGAAAAUUUGAGCCAAGAUGGCUAGAAGAGGAAUUGGUGGAGGAAGUAGUGAAGACGGCGUGGCAGAAGGCAGUCGUAAGGGGGCUUUGCCCCUCGGCUAGUGAGAAACUAGCAACAAUGCAUAAAGAUCUUCACCAAUGGGAUAGGGAAGUUUUGAAGGGACCUCGAGCCAGACUGAAAACAGCGCAGCAGGAACUAGAGGCACUCAUGCGAGAGCCAUAUGAUGUUGAUGCAUGGGCAAAACAGCAGGACUUAACGCUCAAAAUGGAAAACCUCUUAGAGCAGGAGGAGAUCUACUGGGCCCAACGGGGACAUGCAAACUGGCUUCGUCGCGGUGACCGUAAUACCAAAUUUUUUCAUCAGUUUGCUUCGGCCUGUAGGCGUCGUAACUUGAUCAAGAGAUUGAAAGAUAAUAAUGAUGCAUGGGUUGAGGGGAAUGAGAACCUCAAGCCUCUGAUUUUUUUAUUACUUCCAGAACCUGUUUUUAUCGGAGGCAGGGCUGAUUGA
rnacentral:rRNA from 1 species